UACAUAGGGGGCAAGCGUUGUCCGGAAUCAUUGGGCGUAAAGCGCGUGUAGGCGGCUCGAUAAGUCUGCUGUGAAAGUCCAGGGCUCAACCCUGGGAUGCCGGUGGAUACUGUCGAGCUCGAGUCCGGAAGAGGCGAGUGGAAUUCCUGGUGUAGCGGUGAAAUGCGCAGAUAUCAGGAGGAACACCAAUGGCGAAGGCAGCUCGCUGGGACGGUACUGACGCUGAGACGCGAAAGCGUGGGGAGCAAACAGG
rnacentral:rRNA from 1 species